AAAACACUAACGAACGCUGGCGGCAGGCUUAACACAUGCAAGUCGAACGCCCCGCAAGGGGAGUGGCAGACGGGUGAGUAACGCGUGGGAAUCUACCCAACUCUACGGAAUAACUCAGGGAAACUUGUGCUAAUACCGUAUACGCCCUUCGGGGGAAAGAUUUAUCGGAGUUGGAUGAGCCCGCGUUGGAUUAGCUAGUUGGUGGGGUAAAGGCCUACCAAGGCGACGAUCCAUAGCUGGUCUGAGAGGAUGAUCAGCCACAUUGGGACUGAGACACGGCCCAA
rnacentral:rRNA from 1 species